rnacentral:rRNA from 1 species
AUUGAACGCUGGCGGCAGGCCUAACACAUGCAAGUCGAGCGAGCGGCGGACGGGUGAGUAAUGUCUGGGAAACUGCCUGAUGGAGGGGGAUCACUACUGGAAAAGGUAGCGAAUACCGCAUACCAUCAGAUGUGCCCAGAUGGGAUGAGCUAGUAGGUGGGGUAAUGGCUCACCUAGGCGAGGAUCGCUAGCUGGUCUGAGAGGAUGAACAGCCAAACUGGAACUGAGACACGGUCCAGACUCCUACGGGAGGCAGCAGUGGGGAAUAUUGGACAAUGGGCGCAAGCCUGAUGCAGCCAUGCCGCGUGUGUGAAGAAGGCCUUCGGGUUGUAAAGCACUGUCAGCGGGGAGGCGUUACCCGAAGAGGAAGCACCGGCUAACUCCGUGCCAGCAGCCGCGGUAAUUC